AUUGAACGCUGGCGGCAUGCCUUACACAUGCAAGUCGAACGGCAGCACGGGAGCAAUCCUGGUGGCGAGUGGCGAACGGGUGAGUAAUAUAUCGGAACGUGCCCAGUCGUGGGGGAUAACGCAGCGAAAGCUGUGCUAAUACCGCAUACGAUCUAUGGAUGAAAGCGGGGGAUCGCAAGACCUCGCGCGAUUGGAGCGGCCGAUAUCAGAUUAGGUAGUUGGUGGGGUAAAGGCCCACCAAGCCGACGAUCUGUAGCUGGUCUGAGAGGACGACCAGCCACACUGGAACUGAGACACGGUCCAGACUCCUACGGGAGGCAGCAGUGGGGAAUUUUGGACAAUGGGCGCAAGCCUGAUCCAGCAAUGCCGCGUGCAGGAUGAAGGCCUUCGGUUGUAACUAGCUUUGUACGGAACGAAACGGUACUGCUCUAAUACAGU
rnacentral:rRNA from 1 species